rnacentral:rRNA from 1 species
GGGCCCGCACAAGCGGUGGAGCAUGUGGUUUAAUUCGAUGAUACGCGAGGAACCUUACCAGGGCUUAAAUGUAAGUUGCAUUAGUUAGAGAUAGCUAUUUCUUCGGACCACUUACAAGGUGCUGCAUGGUUGUCGUCAGCUCGUGCCGUGAGGUGUCAGGUUAAGUCCUAUAACGAGCGCAACCCCUGUUGUUAGUUGCCAGCGAGUCAUGUCGGGAACUCUAACAAGACUGCCGGUGCAAACCGUGAGGAAGGUGGGGAUGACGUCAAAUCAUCACGGCCCUUACGUCCUGGGCUACACACGUGCUACAAUGGUCGGUACAGAGAGCAGCCACUACGCGAGUAGGAGCGAAUCUUCAAAGCCGAUCACAGUUCGGAUAGGAGUCUGCAACUCGACUCCUUGAAGUUGGAGUC